UAUAUCAAAGCGAUGCCUGGACAGCGUGACGUGUGUGGUUGUGCUGCUGCUGUGGUCCUGCCUGAUGCCUCCUGCUGCUGCUGUUAUCAUUAGUCAUACUUCUACCGUUACAUGAUUAUUGGCAUUGUGUCAUGUGGAUUACUGUUAAUUUAUUAUGCUGAUCUGUUCUGUACGACAUCUAUUGCACGUCUGUCCGUCCUGGAAGAGGGAUCCCUCCUCAGUUGCUCUUCCUGAGGUUUCUACCGUUUUUUUUUUUGGGGAGUUUUUCCUUAUCCGCUGCGAGGGUCAUAAGGACAGAGGGAUGUCGUAUGCUGUAAAGCCCUGUGAGGCAAAUUGUGAUUUGUGAUAUUGGGCUUUAUAAAUAAAAUUGAUUGAUUGAUUGAUAAUAAAUCCACUAUUCACUACACCUGCUCAGCACCAAACAGCAGAUAUACAACAUUAGCGACUAGCUUGUGAGCAUAGUGGAGCAUUUAGUGUCUUAAAAGAGUCCCAUAUUGUUUAAUGAAAACCAAAACAAAACUGAAAAAGUGAAAAUGAGACUUGGUGGACGGAAACAAGACUAGUAAAAAUGCUAAUGGUGCUGUGUGUCUGCUGCAUGUACUUAUAAAUCCAGACCCCUCUCACUGCUGCACCACUGCACAGAGCCCCCCACCCCCUCAGAGAAGCAUCUAUGGACAUCACCUUGCGAAACAACACCCUCCAUAUAGGAGAACCCCGGUGUUUUAAACCGGGUUCCUUUCACAGGUAGAGAGCCGAAAUGCAAGCAGGGGUUAUUGUAAGCCUCCUCUGGUGGUGACGUGGAGCACACAGUCAGUGAGAGCAUAUCCAGUGUUGAAAUACCUUCAUCUUCAUUCUCUGUACUACAGCCAUCAUAGAUGCCAACAUUACUAUCACCUGUAAAAUUGUCUGGAAAGUUUGCAUCCUUAAUGAAACUGAAUGAGGUAACAUGAAAUGUGACCAUUCUUUGCUCUGACAGACAUGCUUGGCUAGAAGGGGAGCAUGUUCCUCUGUUGAUUCAGAGUCAGCAAACUCACCUUCGCUUCACCUAAAUGCCCCAUGCUUGAAUUUGUGACAGAACCAACAACAGCUGCACUGCUGCCUGCACUCUGGAGAUGGGCUACCACAGCCAAAUCGUACAGGUAGGUUAAAACAUAACUGCCUCUUCUCUGCAGGGAGCUAAUGCAGCCUUGACACAUUUGGUAAAGGUGUGAGUGACAAACCAUGGGGAACACGUGUUGUGGUCACCUCAGAAAUACUUAGCAUACCCCCACUAGGGCUACAUAUGUGUGCAUGGGAGUUUGUGCUUAGAUUCUGUUUAGGGGAGUGCAGUCCUCUUGGAACUGGACCCCUGAACAGAACAAGGAAGACACCUCUCGGGCAGCAAUGGAUGCUGCCAGAGCUCUUCUCUUCCCUGUCUACCACGCAGUCAUGGCUAGCAGCCAUCCAUCUCCAUGAGCAGCUAGCACUCACAGAGGGCUCCGUCCAUAGUGCCUAUAGUGUCCAUAGUAUGUUACUGCUGUCAGUCAACCAGUUACCAGUGGGGACAUUGACAAAACGCUCCUCGUUGUCAGACUCAGAUGAAGCUGGGUCCCAUAUGACGGUCUUUCCUAGUGUUUUAUCCACAAAUGCAACCUACCCCUCCAGGGUGGAGCACCAGGGCCGGCAACAAAACACACAGGACUGACAACGCUCUUCUGACAGUGAUAAUGCCAAACAGACAGGACAUGGCUGGUGCACAUAUCGAGACACAGACAUUGUGGAAAAACGAACCCAAAAUUGCUGCAGGUGGCUUCCUCAGAUAGCAAUCAGUGGUGGUAACAAGAGCCAUUAACCCUAGAACACUAACAAAACAGUUAGUAACACCACCACUAACAUGAACUUGUUUUUCAGUCCACCCGUCCCUGGGACAUGUGAGCCUUGUUCGGUGAAGGCACAGUCUCCCUGCAUCACUGACAAGGGUGAGAGAGAUAAACAAAAAAUGGCAAUUUUUGAGAGGGGAAAAAUGACCAGCUGACUAUACAUUUUUUUUGACCAUAUGAAUUCGCUUGGAAAUUACCACUAAGUGAUAUUUAUUAAUAACCAUUACAUUGAAUAAGGAUUACAUACAAAUUCCAGGACCACUCUAACUUACUUUAUGCCUUACACACAGUAGUACAGGCAGGGUAGUAGUGGCGAGGGCACACCGGUCAACGGCAGAGGCAACAGGUCCUGGGGUGACCAUUUGUCUGGUGUUAGGCCUACCGGAAUAAUCAAUCAAUCAAUCAAUUUUAUUUAUAAAGCAACUCCUCCAACUGAGGAGGGAUCCCUCUUCCAGGAUGGACAGACGUGCAAUAGAUGUCGUACAGAACAGAUCAGCAUAAUAAAUUAACAGUAAUCCGUAUGACACAAUGAGACAGAGAGAGAGAGAGAGAGAGAGAGAGAGAGAGAGAGAGAGAUGCAGGUAAUGACAGUAGCUUACAA